GGUGUUCUUCUGAAGAGAGGGACAGAUGGGUUUAAGGAGAGUAAACUUCAGAAUAACAACGUUAUAUUUAUUUUUACUAAGACUAAAAUAAUGUUUGUUUUUGUAGAUGUUGAAAUCCAGAGACAAGAUAGCUUCAUUCUUUUGAGACUGAUAACUCAAACUAACUGGAGUUAAGGACACCGAAGUCUGUUUGUGUGAGGAGGAGGUUUUCUCAGCUUCUUCUGAAGAGAGGAAAAGAAAGUUUAAGGCAAAGACAUGGGAGAGCAUCAUUCUUUUGAGAUUUUAUAACUCAAACCAACUUUGGAGUUGUCUAGUCUGAUUUGGAGAGUCAUCAUUCUUGGUCUUCCCUCUUAAAGGCCACUGAUGAAGAACAGGCGGUGACUGGGAUGAAUGCUGGUCAAAGAAGAGAACGUCCUUUCCCCUAAACUGAUGCAGCAGUGGUUUUAAAGGAGGACGCUGCCCUGGAUGAUGUAGAAGAUGUCACAUGCUGUGCUGAUGGGGCUUCUUCAUGACUACAUCAAUUAUGCUAAAGAGAUCAUGAAAAUUGACUGUGAUGCUUGAUCUGUAUUCAUGGACUAUGAAACAAACUGUAAGUCUAUAAUUUGUAAAAA